GUUUGGUAUUCGUGAAUAGCACGUGCGCGAAAGCGAUUGUGUGUGUAUUGAGUCAGCACAAUAUCGUGUUUCUGGAACGGCAUCGGUUGUCUGCGAAUCCCAAUUAGAACCGAUUGAAUCGGCUCGAAAUAAGAAUCCGGUACACAUUUUUAAAUUAAACACCAGAAAUCGAUGAUCACAAUAAUAUCGUGACAUUAGUUAUCGUAUCGUAACAGAGAAAAAUUAUUGAAAGUGUUGCCACAUAAUUCGAUAGGAAUUAAUAAAUCUUACCGUACAUAGAAGUAAGUUGGAGCAGUAUCAGGAAAAUGGAAUUUUUUAAUCACAUUAUACGGGGUUCCAUCGUACUUUUUGUUACAUAAAACAUAUUUAUCGUAUAAGUAGUAUACACACUCGGAUGUAAUGAAUGUUUACAACAAAAGUGAUUAUCAACUGGAAAUAGUUAAAGUACGGAGAGAUUGAAGAGGAAGAGGAGGAAAAGUUACACACAGUGUACCGUUGCGGUAAAGGUCAACGAGAUUUGAAGAGGAAAACGUGGAGACGGCUGCGCUUCACGUGCAGUUCCCCGCAGCGAGAAAGUUCUGUUAUCAAUGCCGCUUUCGCGGCAUCGCGCGGCGAUCACCGAAUCAUAAAUAACUUUUGGCUCUGUAUUGUUCUCGUGCUCGGAAAAGCAGCGCGCGUGCACCCGUGUUAAGAGGGCAUCGACGACAUUGAAACGGCCGAUUGCGUUGAGCAAACUUCCUCAAAGAGAACAAAGUGUCCUAUCUCCCGCGAGCGAUAACCGUAAUCUUGUUUAUAGCAUUGUUUCGAAAAGCGACCGAACUCUGGUAACGUCCACUCGGCUUGACAUGGAUUUCCAUUACGCUAAUUUCACCGACGGAAUUAGAUCUAUGGAAACGUUUGAGAACGUUAGGUGUAAUCGAACGUACUUUUUGACGAUCUUAGGUUGGAUAGAUGAAUUCAUCUUAUUGAAGCUAACGGAUUUUGCGACGGUACUCGCGGAGUUCUAGAAGAAUAGCAGAACGUCAUAAAUAACAAUGGAAAUUACUUUGAGCAUUUAGCAAUUGCAAAGUGUUUUAAGUGAGACUUUGAUUUUACCGAAAAAUCGAGGAGAACUUUUUACUACCCUUAACAUUUGGACUGCGACUUACAAUUAGGAAAGAUACCUAUAGUUUAUCAGUAAAUUACAGAUGUUUAUAAAGUAUAAGAAAUCUAUUCUUUUACAAAGAUGGUAUCAGUAAGUUAAAAAGCAUAUAAAAUUUGCGUAAACGUUUAUUGAAAUUGCUGUUUUAAAAUGGUUGUAAGAUCUUUAUAAGUUACGCGAAGCUCCGCAGUAUUAGACGCAGUGGUAACUGUAAAAACGUCUGUUAACUAUUUCAAUUUUUUUAAAUUGAAAUUCAAACUAAUAGUUAAUAAUAUCGUGUUUACGGGUGUACUGAAAAUGUACUUUUAUUUGAUCUUCUAUUGAUCUUUACCAAUUCAAUGUCGUGGGAUGGAUUAAAGCGAAUACUAAUUUCUGCCAUUAUUUAAGACGACGUUAUCUUCUUCGUGACGAUUUUAUGUGGGUUCUUUACUGCGAACGAUGAACAAUAUCUCUUAUUAGUUUUCUUUGUUCCAGCGCUCGGAAGUUGAUAGUUGUGAUUCACAGUAACGCUGGUCGAAGUACACCCGCAAAUCUUAUCGCCGCGCAAUGAAUCAACAUCGAAAGUCCAACGGAGAUCAUCGGAGAUCCGAUCCACGCGGUGAGAGCCGCAGCGGAACGCGGUGAAUUCAAGUUCAAUGUUCCCUAUUUCCGUCAUGACAAUUGCCAGUGCUGCUGAACACCAGAAUAAAUAUCGGAAUGGUUCAUACCACUUAAGUCCUUACGAUUCGUUUCAUGAGUGUUUUCAUUAAAAUUGUAUUUUCUGUUUCUGAACAUUUCUUAAGAAGCACGAAAAUUUUUUAUUUAGUGCAAAGUUCAUGUUUCACUGCUGUAUGAGUCAUUCAUCUGUCAAAAAGGAAUAACGCCACAAAAAAGGAUUUCAUGAUCAAUGUCCCCGUAUUGAGGCCUUUCGGCUGUUAAGGGUUAAGAAUAUUAAAAUUUGUAAAUUUGGAUAUUUCAAACUUUUCUUCACAUUGUUCAGAACUGCUCCAAUUGUGCAUACUUUCUAGAAAUACAUAAUCUUCGAUAUGACUCGGAGGUCUGAAAGUCUGACGUUAUGGUAUUUUAAUAACUGGACUAUCGUACAUGAAAAGGGUAAGGAUUGUGUAAGACAAUUAUCUACGGUAUCAUACAUGAACCACUUAUUGAAAGGCGAACGUUUCGAUUGUUCACUCAUUUGCUUCGGAUAUGCAUCUCAAUAGGAGAAAAAUAACUGCAGAGCACAAAUUAAUUCUGUACUGACACGAUAACUCAGUGUUUCCCAACGUGGGGCAGUCGUCCCACGGGGGGGCAAUAUGAAAUGUGAAAUAUCACUUCAUAUAUUUCACAAUAUUUACACACGUAAACAAAAUAUAAUAUUAUAAUAUAAUAUUAAAAAUUAUAUAUAUGUUACAUAGAGGGGCAUAAGAACUUUAGAAAGGCUUAGGUGGAGCAUGGCGCAAAAAAGGUUGGGAAACACUGCGAUAACCAAUUCUGCUUUAUUCAACAAGAAUAAAUAAAUUUAUUGGCUAAUGAUCAUUGCAAAAUUCCUUGUUCCUAUUAUUUUUUCUCGUUGAUUAAUUUAAUAAUACAAGUGCUACCGCACCCUCAAUAUACAUACAAAAAUUAAUGACAAAUGAAAUAAACGAAUGAUGAAAAAACACUCGUGCGUUCGUGCACAUUAAUCAAAGAAUUCAUGUUACAUAAAGUAUAUAAAUUUUUCAAAAUGAACAAAUAAUUAAAAUUGAAGAUUAAAUUGAACUUUCUAGAGGUCCUAGUUUUUAUUUUUAAUUUUUUUUUAAACUAGGACUAAUGUC